rnacentral:rRNA from 1 species
UACGGAGGAUCCGAGCGUUAUCCGGAUUUAUUGGGUUUAAAGGGUGCGUAGGCGGGCUGUUAAGUCAGCGGUGAAAGUUUGACGCUCAACGUUAAAAUUGCCGUUGAUACUGGUGGCCUUGAGUGCGGUUGAGGUAGGCGGAAUGUGGUGUGUAGCGGUGAAAUGCUUAGAUAUGCCACAGAACACCGAUUGCGAAGGCAGCUUACUAAAGCGCAACUGACGCUGAUGCACGAAAGCGUGGGGAUCGAACAGG